rnacentral:rRNA from 1 species
AGCGAACGCUGGCGGCAGGCCUAACACAUGCAAGUCGAACGAAGUCUUCGGACUUAGUGGCGGACGGGUGAGUAACACGUGGGAACGUGCCUUUAGGUUCGGAGUAACUCAGGGAAACUUGUGCUAAUACCGAAUGUGCCCUUCGGGGGAAAGAUUUAUCGCCUUUAGAGCGGCCCGCGUCUGAUUAGCUAGUUGGUGAGGUAAAGGCUCACCAAGGCGACGAUCAGUAGCUGGUCUGAGAGGAUGAUCAGCCACAUUGGGACUGAGACACGGCCCAAACUCCUACGGGAGGCAGCAGUGGGGAAUCUUGCGCAAUGGGCGAAAGCCUGACGCAGCCAUGCCGCGUGAAUGAUGAAGGUCUUAGGAUUGUAAAAUUCUUUCACCGGGGACGAUAAUGACGGUACCCGGAGAAGAAGCCCCGGCUAACUUCGUGCCAGCCGCCGCCGUAACAC